GGUGAACGCUGGCGGCGUGCUUAACACAUGCAAGUCGAACGAUGAAGCCCAGCUUGCUGGGUGGAUUAGUGGCGAACGGGUGAGUAACACGUGAGCAACCUGCCCCUGACUCUGGGAUAAGCGCUGGAAACGGCGUCUAAUACUGGAUAUGUCCCGUCACCGCAUGGUGUGCGGGUGGAAAGAUUUUUCGGUUGGGGAUGGGCUCGCGGCCUAUCAGCUUGUUGGUGAGGUAAUGGCUCACCAAGGCGUCGACGGGUAGCCGGCCUGAGAGGGUGACCGGCCACACUGGGACUGAGACACGGCCCAGACUCCUACGGGAGGCAGCAGUGGGGAAUAUUGCACAAUGGGCGGAAGCCUGAUGCAGCAACGCCGCGUGAGGGAUGACGGCCUUCGGGUUGUAAACCUCUUUUAGCAGGGAAGAAGCGAAAGUGACGGUACCUGCAGAAAAAGCACCGGCUAACUACGUG
rnacentral:rRNA from 1 species